GUGGGGAAUAUUGGACAAUGGGCGAAAGCCUGAUCCAGCCAUGCCGCGUGUGUGAAGAAGGUCUUCGGAUUGUAAAGCACUUUAAGUUGAGAGGAAGGGCAGUAAGUUAAUACCUUGCUGUUUUGACGUUACCAACAGAAUAAGCAACGGCUAACUUCGUGCCAGCAGCCGCGGUAAUACGAAGGGUGCAAGCGUUAAUCGGAAUUACUGUGCGUAAAGCGCGCGUAGGUGGUUCAGCAAGUUGAAGGUGAAAUCCCCGGGCUCAACCUGGGAACUGCCUCCAAAACUACUGAGCUAGAGUACGGUAGAGUGUAGUGGAAGUUCCUGUGUAGCGGUGAAAUGCGUAGAUAUAGGAAGGAACACCAGUGGCGAAGGCGACUACCUGGACUGAUACUGACACUGAGGUGCGAAAGCGUGGGGAGCAAACAGGAUUAGAAACCCGUGUAGUCC
rnacentral:rRNA from 1 species